rnacentral:rRNA from 1 species
AAUAUUGGACAAUGGGGGAAACCCUGAUCCAGCCAUGCCGCGUGUGUGAAGAAGGUCUUCGGAUUGUAAAGCCCUUUAAGUUGGGAGGAAGGGUUGUUAGCUAAUAUCAACCAAUCUUGAUGUUACCAACAGAAUAAGCACCGGCGAACUCUGUGCCAGCAGCCGCGGUAAUACAGAGGGUGUAAGCGUUAAUCGGAAUUACUGGGCGUAAAGCGCGCGUAGGUGGUUCAGUAAGAUGGCAGUAAAAGCCCCGCGCUUAACCUGGGAACUGCUUUCAUAACUGCUGAGCUAGAGUACGGUAGAGGGUAGUGGAAUUUCCUGUGUAGCGGUGAAAUGCGUAGAUAUAGGAAGGAACACCAGUGGCGAAGGCGACUACCUGGACUGAUACUGACACUGAGGUGCGAAAGCGUGGGGAGCAAAC